GAUGAACGCUGGCGGCGUGCCUAAUACAUGCAAGUCGAGCGAACAGACGAGGAGCUUGCUCCUCUGACGUUAGCGGCAGACGGGUGAGUAACACGUGGAUACCCUACCUAUAAGACUGGGAUAACUGCGGGACUCGGGAUAUAAUACGGGAUAAUAUAUUGAACGGCGUGGUUCAGGAGAGAAAGAGGGUUUUGCUGUCAGCUAUAGGUGUAUCCGCGCGGCAGUAGCUAGUUGGUAAGGUAACGGCUUGCCAAGGAGACGAGGCGUAGCCGACCUGAGAGGGUGAGCCGCCACACUGGAAUGGAGGCACGGUCCAGACCUCUGAGGCAGGCAGGAGUAGGGAAUCUGGCAGAAGGGGCGAAUGCCUGACGAUGCAACGCCGCGUGAUGGAUGAAGGCCUCCUGAUCGUAAACCUCUGUUAUGUGGGAAGAACCAUUGUGUAAGUAACUAGGCUCGUCGUGACGGUACCUAAUCAAAAAGCCCCGGCUAACUACGUG
rnacentral:rRNA from 1 species